UACGUAGGGUGCAGGCGUUAAUCGGAAUUACUGGGCGUAAAGCGUGCGCAGGCGGUUUGCUAAGACAGGUGUGAAAGCCCCGGGCUCAACCUGGGAACCGCGCUUGAGACUGGCAUGCUCGAGUUCGGGAGAGGAUGGUGGAAUUCCCAGUGUAGAGGUGAAAUUCGUAGAUAUCGGGAGGAACACCGGUGGCGAAGGCGGCGACCUGGGUCGACACUGACGCUGAGGCGCGAAAGCGUGGGGAGCAAACAGG
rnacentral:rRNA from 1 species